rnacentral:rRNA from 1 species
AUGUUUGUUAGGACAGUUGAUACAGCCAUGGAUAUCACUCAGAUUCUCCUAGCUGCGCAAUCUCCGGACGGUAACCUUCGGUCGGUAGCAGAAAGCAGCCUUAAGCUGUUUCAGGAGCAGAAUCUUCCCAGGUUCCUGCUGUCCUUAUCAGUGGAGCUCUCGAAUGACGGAAGGCCGCCAGAGUCUAGAAGACUUGCUGGCAUUAUCCUUAAGAAUACGUUGGAUGCUAAGGAUUGUUCAAGGAAGGAGCUACUUGGUCAGCAAUGGGUCAGCCUGGACCUGUCGAUCAAAUCGAGGAUCAAGGAAUCGUUGCUGCUAACGCUAGGUUCUUCGGUGCCUGAUGCAAGGCAGGCCUCAUCACAGGUUAUUGCAAAGGUUGCGUCCAUUGAGAUGCCCCGUCGUGAAUGGCCAGACCUCAUUGCCAAGUUAUUGGGAAACAUGACGCAACAGGGUGCAUCUGCGCCACUGAAGCAAGCAACUCUAGAGGCAUUGGGGUAUGUCUGUGAGGAGAUUUCUCCUGAGCACUUGGAGCAGGAUCAAGUCAAUGCUGUUCUGACUGCUGUGGUCCAGGGAAUGAACCAGGCAGAGCUAAGUGUUGAAGUGCGUCUUGCAGCAGUUAAAGCUCUAUAUAACGCUCUUUAUUUUGCUGAUAGCAACUUUGCAAAUGAUAUGGAGAGGAACUAUAUAAUGAAGGUAAUUUGUGAGACUGCUGUAUCUAAUGAAGUGGAGAUCAGACAGGCAGCUUUUGAAUGCCUUGUUGCAAUUGCAUCCAUAUAUUAUAUGCACUUGGAACCUUAUAUGCAAACUGUAUUUAACCUGACGUCUAACGCUGUCAAAGGAGAUGAAGAAUCAGUUGCACUUCAAGCUAUUGAGUUCUGGAGCACAGUUUGUGAUGAAGAGAUUCAACUCCAAGAAGAAUAUGAGGGAUAUGACAAUGCUGACUCUAGUGCAAAUUUUCGCUUUAUAGAAAAGGCACUCCCUUCACUUGUUCCAAUGCUGCUCGAAACUCUGUUGAAGCAAGAGGAAGAUCAAGAGCAAGAUGAUAAUGUCUGGAACAUUUCCAUGAGUAGCGGGACGUGCCUUGGACUAAUCGCUAAAGCUGUUGGUGAUGCGAUUGUCCCUCUUGUCAUGCCAUUUGUUGAGGCUAACAUCACAAAUCCAGAUUGGCAUUGUCGUGAGGCAGCUACUUUUGCAUUUGGUUCUAUCCUUGACGGUCCUUCUCUUCCGAAACUUGCUCCACUGGUACAUGCUGGACUUGAUUUCUUGCUCAAUGCAAUGAAAGAUCCCAACAGCCAGGUAAAAGACACCACUGCAUGGACUCUUGGGCGUGUGUUUGAAUUUUUGCAUUCUCCAACCAGUGUGAAUCCAAUUGUAACAAGUGGAAACCUUACGCGUAUCAUGACAGUGUUGCUCGAGAGUAGUAAGGAUGCUCCAAAUGUGGCUGAGAAAGUCUGUGGAGCUAUAUACUUUCUUGCCCAAGGUUAUGAAAAUACAGCAGAUUCAAUCUCUUCUGUGCUUACACCUUAUCUUCCUAGUGUCAUUACCACUCUCCUUUCUGCUCCAGACUGUGCUGACGCAACCCAUUUUAGGCUUCGUUCAUCUGCUUAUGAAGCAUUGAAUGAGAUUGUGAGAGUCAGCAACAUAGAUGAAACUUCAAGCAUUAUAGGCCAGUUAUUGCAGGAGGUCAUGAGAAGAUUGAACUUGACAUUUGAUCUCGAAAUAUUUUCACCAGGCGACAAGGAGAACCAGAGUGACCUGCAGGCUUUGCUGUGCGGUGUACUACAGGUUAUCGUCCCGAAACUGAGCAACUCAGAUGCGGAAUCCAUUAUCACCCAGAAUGCUGAUCGGUUGAUGUUUCUGUUUCUCCGUGUCUUUGCUUGCCACGGUUCUACUGUACAUGAAGAAGCAAUGCUUGCUAUUGGUGUUCUUGCGGAUGCUAUCGGUCCAGAUUUUGUAAAAUACAUGCCGGAGUUUUUCAAGUACCUUGAAGCAGGCUUGCAGAAUCAUGAAGAAUACCAAGUAUGCUCCAUUUCUGUUGGAGUGGUGGGUGACAUUUGCCGUACACUAGAAGAUAAAGUGUUGCCAUUCUGUGAUGGAAUUAUGACUGUUCUCCUCAAGGAUCUUUCAAAUCCAAUGCUCAACCGGUCUGUCAAACCUCCCAUUUUCUCAUGCUUUGGAGACAUUGCUCUUGCUAUCGGCGAGAAUUUUGAGAAAUACCUGCCAUAUGCCAUGCCAAUGCUUCAAGGAGCUGCUGAGCUUCUUGUUGUUUUAGAUCAAAGUGACGAUGAUAUGGUUCACUAUGGUAAUCAGCUCAGACGGGGAAUAUUUGAGGCUUACUCUGGCAUAUUACAGGGUAUAAAAGGUCCAAAAGCUCAGCUGAUGGUACCUUAUGCAACCCACCUAUUGCAGUUCACUGAAGCUGUCUACAAGGAUGGGAGCAGGGAUGAGAGUGUGACAAAGGCUGCAGUUGCAGUCCUUGGUGAUCUCGCGGAUACACUUGGCCCAAUAUCAAAAGAUCUGUUCAGGAACCACCUCUUCCAUGUUGAAUUCUUUAGGGAGUGCCUUGAUUCGGACGAAGAAGUCAGGGAGGCUGCAUCGUGGGCGCAGGGAAUGAUAAACCAAGCAGUGGUUGCUUAA